CUACGGGGUGCUCCAGUGGGGAAUCUUGCACAAUGGAAGAAACUCUGAUGCAGCGAUGCCGCGUGAGUGAAGAAGGCCCUUGGGUUGUAAAGCUCUUUUGUCGGGAAAGAUAAUGACUGUACCCGAAGAAUAAGGUCCGGCUAACUUCGUGCCAGCAGCCGCGGUAAUACGAAGGGACCUAGCGUAAUUCGGAAUUACUGGGCGUAAAGCGCGCGUAGGCGGUUAAGUAAGUUAAUUGUGAAAGCCCAAAGCUCAACUUUGGAAUUGCAAUUAAAACUACUUAGCUAGAGUUUAUCAGAGGAAAGCGGAAUACAUAGUGUAGAGGUGAAAUUCGUAGAUAUUAUGUAGAACACCAGUUGCGAAGGCGGCUUUCUGGGAUAACACUGACGCUGAGGUGCGAAAGUAUGGGUAGCGAAGAGGAUUAGAUACCCCCGUAGUC
rnacentral:rRNA from 1 species